UACGAAGGGGGCUAGCGUUGUUCGGAAUCACUGGGCGUAAAGCGCACGUAGGCGGAUCGUUAAGUCGGGGGUGAAAUCCCAGGGCUCAACCCUGGAACUGCCUUCGAUACUGGCGAUCUUCGAGUCCGGGAGAGGUGAGUGGAACUCCGAGUGUAGAGGUGAAAUUCGUAGAUAUUCGGAAGAACACCAGUGGCGAAGGCGGCUCACUGGCCCGGUACUGACGCUGAGGCGCGAAAGCCAGGGGAGCGAACGGG
rnacentral:rRNA from 1 species